UACGUAGGGUGCGAGCGUUGUCCGGAAUUAUUGGGCGUAAAGAGCUCGUAGGCGGUCUGUCGCGUCGGUCGUGAAAACUUGGGGCUUAACCCUGAGCUUGCGGUCGAUACGGGCAUGACUGGAGUUCGGCAGGGGAGACUGGAAUUCCUGGUGUAGCGGUGAAAUGCGCAGAUAUCAGGAGGAACACCGAUGGCGAAGGCGGUGGUCUGGGCCGGCACUGACGCUGAGGAGCGAAAGCGUGGGGAGCAAACAGG
rnacentral:rRNA from 1 species